rnacentral:rRNA from 1 species
GGAGCGAAACCGCGAGGCGGAGCAAAUCUCAAAAAAUUAGUCCCAGUUCGGAUUGCAGGCUGAAACUCGCCUGCAUGAAGUCGGAAUUGCUAGUAAUCGCGGAUCAGCAUGCCGCGGUGAAUACGUUCCCGGGCCUUGUACACACCGCCCGUCACACCAUGGGAGUCGGUAACACCCGAAGCCUGUAGUCUAACCGUGAGGAGGACGCAGUCGAAGGUGGGAUUGAUGACUGGGGUGAAGUCGUAACAAGGUAAC